rnacentral:rRNA from 1 species
AGAACGAACGCUGGCGGCAUGCCUAACACAUGCAAGUCGAACGCUUCCGGGGCUUCGGUCGCGGAGGAGUGGCAGACGGGUGAGUAACGCGUGGGAACAUACCCUUCGGUUCGGAAUAACUCAGGGAAACUUGAGCUAAUACCGGAUACGUCCGAGGUUUUAAUCGACCUUGGAGAAAGAUUUAUCGCCGGAGGAUUGGCCCGCGUCUGAUUAGCUUGUUGGUGAGGUAAUGGCUCACCAAGGCGACGAUCAGUAGCUGGUCUGAGAGGAUGAUCAGCCACAUUGGGACUGAGACACGGCCCAAACUCCUACGGGAGGCAGCAGUGGGGAAUAUUGGACAAUGGGCGAAAGCCUGAUCCAGCCAUGCCGCGUGAGUGAUGAAGGCCUUAGGGUUGUAAAGCUCUUUUACCCGGGAAGAUAAUGACGGUACCGGGAGAAUAAGCCCCGGCUAACUUCGUGCCAGCAGCCGC